rnacentral:sRNA from 1 species
GCCGGGCGUGGUGGUGCACCUUUAGUCCCAGCUACUCUGGAGGCUGAGGUGGGAGGAUCACUUGAACCCAAGCAUUCAGGGCUGGCCUGGGCAAACAUGGUGAGAGUCUCCCUAAU